GACGUAGGGACCAAGCGUUGUUCGGAUUUACUGGGCGUAAAGGGCGCGUAGGCGGUUUGUCAAGUCAGUUGUGAAAUCUCCGAGCUUAACUCGGAACGGUCAACUGAUACUGUCAAACUAGAGUACAGAAGGGGCAAUCGGAAUUCUUGGUGUAGCGGUGAAAUGCGUAGAUAUCAAGAGGAACACCUGAGGUGAAGACGGGUUGCUGGGCUGAUACUGACGCUGAGGCGCGAAAGCUAGGGUAGCAAACGGG
rnacentral:rRNA from 1 species